rnacentral:rRNA from 1 species
GAUCAAUCUCUUCGGAGUGCGACGUGAACCCGCUGCGUGGGACCUUCGGUGGUAGUAGUCAAGCGAUGGGGUGACGCAGGAAGGUAGCUGUACCGGUUAGUGGUUAUACCGGAGCAAGCCCGUAGGACGACAUCUAGGCAAAUCCGGGUGUCAUACGUCUGAGAGGUGACGCAUAGCCGAUUGAGGCGAAUUCAGUGAUCCUAUGCUGCCAAGAAAAGCCUCUAGUGAGUUCACACACGGCCCGUACCCCAAACCAACACAGGUGGUCAGGUAGAGAAUACUAAGGCGUACGAGAUAACUAUGGUUAAGGAACUCGGCAAAAUACCCCCGUAACUUCGGGAGAAGGGGGACCUCGCUUGGUGACCGGACUUGCUCCGUGAGCUGAACGAGGUCGCAGAGACCAGUGAGAAGCGACUGUUUACUAAAAACACAGGUCCGUGCGAAGUCGCAAGACGAUGUAUACGGACUGACGCCUGCCCGGUGCUGGAAGGUUAAGAGGACCCGUUAACCCUUGGGUGAAGCGGAGAAUUUAAGCCCCAGUAAACGGCGGUGGUAACUAUAACCAUCCUAAGGUAGCGAAAUUCCUUGUCGGGUAAGUUCCGACCUGCACGAAUGGCGUAACGACUUCUCAACUGUCUCAACCAUAGACUCGGCGAAAUUGCACUACGAGUAAAGAUGCUCGUUACGCGCGGCAGGACGAGAAGACCCGGGACCUUCACUAUAGCUUGGUAUUGGCGUUUGGUUCGGUUUGUGUAGGAUAGGUGGGAGACUGUGAAGCAGGCACGCCAGUGUUUGUGGAGUCAUCGUUGAAAUACCACUCUGAUCGUAUUGAACCUCUAACCUCGGACCGUAUAUCCGGUCCAGGGACAGUGCCUGGUGGGUAGUUUAACUGGGGCGGUUGCCUCCCAAAAUGUAACGGAGGCGCCCAAAGGUUCCCUCAACCUGGACGGCAAUCAGGUGUUGAGUGCAAGUGCACAAGGGAGCUUGACUGCGAGACCUACAAGUCAAGCAGGGACGAAAGUCGGGACUAGUGAUCCGGCACCUCUGAGUGGAAGGGGUGUCGCUCAACGGAUAAAAGGUACCCCGGGGAUAACAGGCUGAUCUUCCCCAAGAGUCCAUAUCGACGGGAUGGUUUGGCACCUCGAUGUCGGCUCGUCGCAUCCUGGGGCUGGAGCAGGUCCCAAGGGUUGGGCUGUUCGCCCAUUAAAGCGGCACGCGAGCUGGGUUUAGAACGUCGUGAGACAGUUCGGUCUCUAUCCGCCGCGCGCGUCAGAAACUUGAGGAAACCUGUCCCUAGUACGAGAGGACCGGGACGGACGAACCUCUGGUGUACCAGUUGUUCCACCAGGAGCACGGCUGGAUAGCUACGUUCGGACAGGAUAACCGCUGAAAGCAUCUAAGCGGGAAACCUAUUCCAAGACCAGGUUUCUCACCCUUUUAGAGGGAUAAGGUCACCCACAGACUAUGGGUUCAAUAGGCCAGACCUGCAAGCGUAGUAAUACGUUCAGGGAACUGGCACUAAUCGACCGAAAACUUACUAAU